UACGUAGGUGGCAAGCGUUGUCCGGAAUUACUGGGCGUAAAGCGUGCGUAGGUGGUUUGUUAAGUCUGUUGUGAAAGCCCCGGGCUCAACCUGGGAAUGGCAAUGGAUACUGGCAGGCUAGAGUGCGGUAGAGGGUAGUGGAAUUCCCGGUGUAGCGGUGAAAUGCGUAGAGAUCGGGAGGAACACCAGUGGCGAAGGCGGCUACCUGGACCAGCACUGACACUGAGGCACGAAAGCGUGGGGAGCAAACAGG
rnacentral:rRNA from 1 species